CCUACGGGCGGCAGCAGUGGGGAAUAUUGGACAAUGGGGGGAACCCUGAUCCAGCCAUGCCGCGUGUGUGAAGAAGGCCCUCGGGUUGUAAAGCACUUUCAGUGAGGAAGAACGCCUAGUGGUUAAUACCCAUCAGGAAAGACAUCACUCACAGAAGAAGCACCGGCUAACUCCGUGCCAGCAGCCGCGGUAAUACGGAGGGUGCGAGCGUUAAUCGGAAUUACUGGGCGUAAAGCGCGCGUAGGUGGCUUGAUAAGCCGGUUGUGAAAGCCCCGGGCUCAACCUGGGAACGGCAUCCGGAACUGUCAAGCUAGAGUGCAGGAGAGGAAGGUAGAAUUCCCGGUGUAGCGGUGAAAUGCGUAGAGAUCGGGAGGAAUACCAGUGGCGAAGGCGGCCUUCUGGACUGACACUGACACUGAGGUGCGAAAGCGUGGGUAGCAAACAGGAUUAGAUACCCCUGUAGUC
rnacentral:rRNA from 1 species